rnacentral:rRNA from 1 species
AACGUAGGAGACAAACGUUAUCCGGAGUUACUGGGUGUAAAGGGCGUGUAGGUGGUUUCGUAAGUCUGGCGUGAAAUAUCUCGGCCUAACCGAGGCAGGUCGUCGGAUACUGCGGAACUGGAGGACGGUAGAGGCGUGUGGAAUUCCGGGUGUAGUGGUGAAAUGCGUAGAGAUCCGGAGGAACACCAGUGGCGAAGGCGACACGCUGGGCCGUACCUGACACUGAUGCGCGACAGCAUGGGGAGCAAACAGG